rnacentral:rRNA from 1 species
UACGAGGGGGGCGAGCGUUGUUCGGAAUUAUUGGGCGUAAAGGGUGCGUAGGCGGUUCCGCAAGUCCUGUGUGAAAUCUUCGGGCUCAACUCGAAGUCUGCACGGGAAACUGCGGGGCUUGAGUGUGGGAGAGGUGAGUGGAAUUCCUGGUGUAGCGGUGAAAUGCGCAGAUAUCAGGAGGAACACCGGUGGCGAAGGCGGGUCUCUGGGCCGAUACUGACGCUGAGGAGCGAAAGCGUGGGGAGCAAACAGG